rnacentral:rRNA from 1 species
CUGCAGCCCGAGUGGUGAUCGAUUUUAUUGAGCCUAAAGCGUCCGUAGCCGGACUAGUAAACCCUUGGGUAAAUUGGGCAGCUUAACUGUCCGAAUUCCGAGGGGACUGCUAGUCUUGGGACCGGGAGAGGUCAGAGGUACUCCAGGGGUAGGGGCUAAAUCAGAUAUGGUUUUGAGCCAGUCGGUUAGCAUUCCUGUAAUCCUUGGGGGACCACCAGUGGCGAAGGCGUCUGACUAGAACGGAUCCGACGGUAAGGGACGAAACCCUGGGGCGCGAACCGGAUUAGAUACCCGCGUAGUCC